CAGAAAGACCCUAUGCAGCUUUACUAUAAGCUGGUAUUGGGUUCUGGUCUUUAAUGCGUAGCAUAGGUGGGAGACGUUGAAUCGGCGGUUUCGGUCGCCGAGGAGUCAUCAGUGAAAUACCACUCUUUAUUGAUUAGGAUUCUAACCCCGACCCUGUUAGCCAGGCGGGGGACAGUGCCUGCGGGUUAGUUUGACUGGGGCGGUUUCCUCCCAAAAAGUAACGGAGGAGUGCGAAGGUACUCUCAGCACGGUUGGCAACCGUGCGCCGAGCAUAUGGGUAGAAGAGUGCUUAACUGUGAGACCUACAAGUCGAGCAGAUGCGAAAGCAGGCCCAAGUGAUCCGAUGGUUGAAUGUGGAAUUGCCAUCGCUCAACGGAUAAAAGGUACGCUAGGGAUAACAGGCUGA
rnacentral:rRNA from 1 species